UCUUACUGCAGUGCUGCAAUGGAUGAGUUCGUAUUUUACUUCUUGGGCUUUCAGCUGACAAUUGGAGCCCCUGGUCCUGCUCUGCGUGUGGCAGCACUGAGCCAGCAGCUCCAACUGCUCGUCCGAGUGCGAAGAUUCAUUAGCCUGCAUUUAUCAGCUCUUGCCAGGGAAAUGGUGAAUAAUGAAGCCUGGUUCAGGCAUAGUCCUUAACAUGUGGCUGUCUUGUGCAAUAAGCCAGGGAGAUGCUCGGCUGCAUUCAAGGGAAAUAAAUUUAAUUAUAGACACAUCAUAGAGUCAAACAUUUCCUGAAUGUGGAAUUCAAUGUCUUGUCAGCCUUCCAGCAGGGAACACCAUCAAACUUUUAUAGACACAGAAAAAGCAUCACUCAUUGCUGAGUAGAAGCCGCCUCCACCCUCAGCCCUGCUCUUUCCCCACCAGGAUGUCGUCUCUCCUCUCUUUUCCUGAUCACUAGGGGCAGAUGAAGACAUCCAUCUCAAGAGUAAUGAAACACUGUCCUCUGCACACCCCUGAGGGGCUGACCUCUGAAGAAUGAAGAUAUUUCUGAAAAGUGCCUGGAGAGAGCAGUUAUCUUCAACACAUGUGGAGCUUCCAGUGAAUCCAUUCUUCACCUCUGGGACACUCUGGGAUAUCAAUGCCACAGCCAGGUUUAAGCCUGCUCUGCUCUGUUCCUGAUCACAUCCCACAGUAGCUGUUAGAGAAAAAACAUAUAUUCAUGGGUGCAUUAACAUCUGGGCAGUGCUAACCCAUGACAGUCCUGUGACUGUAGAGUGACUGUUGGAGCAUCUUCACAUGCGGGAUCUCCAGAGAUAUCUGCAGAGCUGAGGCGGUUGAGCUCUCUGCAGUUGUUAUCCUAACCAAGCCAGCCGUGCCUUCGGGGCCACGUAGUCCCACAGUUCCAUGAAAUUCAGCUGAUGGAAAUCCAUGCUGUCACACUUCAUUAGAGGACGGCCAUGGACAGGCAUGGGGAGAAGUUAGGCUGGUUACAAAUGCCUCAUUUCCUUGAGAAAUCAGACAAAAAAUGCCCCCAGCACACACAGACUGGGUGCAAGCAGUUCUGAGUGUGUGGGAAGAGAACGACAGCCUGUCAAGCCCAGCCGGAGCGGAACACUGAGAGCUGCUGAGAUUCAGAGCCUUAGCAGCAGCCCAGCCUGAACCUUGUGGAUUUCCAGGGUUUUUCUUUUAACGCUGUUCAUCAUCUCCUCCUUUGAGGUAGUUAUGGCUGCUCAGCUCCCUUUUCCCAGCCCAUGUGAGUUCAUCCCAGGGAAGCACCAAGCCAGGAAGCUGCACAAAGCCACCCAGGCGCUCACAGGGGGCUGCUGGCCCUGGGCUGCCAGAGACCAUCUGCAGGGUCAUGGGUCACCUCUCCUCUGGAAAAUGCACCACCAGUGCCUUGAAUCUGAUGUGAGAUGUUGUGUUUCUGUACAUCGCAGGGACUGGAGUGACCACACUUGCCAAGUAUUAUUCUCCUGGUCUGCAAGCCAAGGAGGAACUGAUCCAAACAGAUUUCUCCUUUCAGUCACCUGAGGCUCUCAUUCCUCUUUCCAACACCUUUUCAAAAUCCUUUCAAGAAACAAUACCUCUACAGAAGACAGUAGAGAAUAUAUGAUGACAUAUGAGAAUGUUUCUGUAGAAUCCAUCAUAAUCUGAUGUUCUCAAUUCACCUCUUUG